rnacentral:tRNA from 1 species
GUCAAGAUAACUCAGUUGGUAGACAAGAGGACUGAAAAUCCUCGUGUCACCAGUUCAAAUAUGGUUCCUGGCA